rnacentral:rRNA from 1 species
UACGGAGGGUGCAAGCGUUAUCCGGAUUCACUUGGGUUUAAAGGGUGCGUAGGUGGGCAGGUAAGUCAGUGGUGAAAUCUCCGGGCUUAACCCGGAACUGCCGUUGAUACUAUCUGUCUUGAUACUGUGGAGGUAAGCGGAAUAUGUCAUGUAGCGGUGAAAUGCUUAGAUAUGACAUAGAAACACCAAUUGCGAAGGCAGCUUACUACACAGUUAUUACACUGAGGCACGAAAGCGUGGGGAUCAAACAGG